UUCCCAAGCCCUGCGCUACGGGCCCGGAUCCGAGCUCUCUUGGUCCCUGGCUCUCCGGCCCUCCUGGACCUCUGCGGGCGCCGGGGCAGCGUAGCGACCAUCCGCGCGAAGACUCGGCGCGUUCGUUCUCUUGGGCGCUCUCAGGCUGAGGAGGUUCCUCUCCGGGACUUGGGAACCGCUGGGCGGGGAGGGGCCGUGCAUCGCCGGCGCCCGGGGUGGCCAGAGCGGGCACCGGCGGAAGGGCAUCCACCCACCGCCUCUGGAGGCAGGGAUUCCGGCAUUCUCACCACCGGACCCCAGACUCUGGAGUUCCAGAGACCGAGGAGAUCCUGGUGAUCUUGCUUGCCCGCUCCCCCCUAUUAAGAGAUUGGGGAAAUGGACGCCUGGAGAAUGCUUUUUCUUAGACACCAUAUUGCAUCGCGUUGUACGAAAACAGUUUACCAAGGCUUUUUGGGAUGGGUGUGUUAAUUGUUAGUCUCUCUACUGAUUAUUUACUGUUAAGUUUGGCUAGCUGAAGCAUGUCAGAGGCUCGCUCUUUUACCCCUUUGGCAUAACCUUUAUUUUAUGCCUUACAGUUCUACCCAGUUGGUCUUAGUUCCACCUUCUGUUUCUCUACCUGCAAUCUGUGAAACAAAAGCCCUUAAAAUACGUGAAUAGUGACCUUGCCAUUUGGAGCUUCCUGCGCCUUUGCAUUGUAAGGAUUACACGGAAUCAGAUGUGCUAGACACUUCAUGUCCCAUAGUGGUUCCAUGUCACAGGUUAGAGGCUUUGGACCUGGAGUCAUCCUUAGGGCAUCUCAGGGGAAAAUAAUAUGCUGUUUACCUGGAAAAUAACAUGCUCUUUACCUUGACACGUCUGGUCUCUCAUUUGCUAGGUGAAAGUAAACUCAGAUCAGUGGAUUUUAAAGUCAUAAACAUUGUUUUGUACAUAUAGUGGCAAAACACUGUCAUAAUUAGGACUAGAACCCAAUCUGACCUUGUUCUGAAUGCUGUCUCAGACCUGCUGACUAGUGGGAAUUCACAUCCUUGGAGAAUUAUAGUCACCCUCUGCCCAGGGUGUCUUUUUGCACAUAGACCUUUAUACUGGAAUCACUUCUGGGUCAUUUGUAUCCACGUGAACUGUAAAUUACAGUGGCUAAACUUUACACUGUUUCUUUAGCCACAGAAGUUUAAC
rnacentral:lncRNA from 1 species